ACGAGCAGCUGCGAGUCGCCCGCGCGCCACCUGUUUCCGCGCCCAGGGACUUCCCCUGGCGGGGUUCAGAAGUGUGGGGCCGGUUGCUUGGCCUCCCCUGGGCGUCAGGGACCCGGGGUAACCCCCCCCACCCGCAGCCUCCUGUGCAGGCCUGGCGGGUGGGAGGACCUGGCCACACCCACGGGCGCCCUACUCUGGGCACGGCCUGGGAAAAUCAGGAUGGCGACGGCAGCAGAGCAGUGAGUGGAAUCUCUUCUCAGGUAAAUACGGAGUUAAACUAGACCCUGAUGAUCUCAGAUCUCUUCCUGCCCUAAGAAUCUACAAUUUUAUGAUAGCCUUUGACCUUGACUUGCUCUAAGUUACCCUUCCAUCCUUCUCAAGUCCUUUGAAGGUUCUAGUUUGAGGCACUAAGAAGGAUAAGACAUCAGUUUGAAAACAGCCCCUAUCAGAGCAACAUGAAUUCUGCUCAAAUUGAAGCAAGAACAAACAUCCAAUUUAGGGUGAAGCUUGGCUGGAAGAAUGGUGAAAUCCUUGAUACUUUAUGAAAAGUUUAUGGAGACUAUGCCCCAAAAACAUCCGUUUACAGAUGGAUAACUCUUUAAUAAGGGACAAGACAAUGUUGAAGAUGAAGUCUGCAACAGCAAACCAUCCACACCAAUUGGUGAGGAAAAAAUUAAUCUUGUUCGUGCCUUAAUUAAAGAGGACCAAUGAUUAACAGCAGAAACAACAGCCAGCACCACAGACAUCUAUCUCACUUGGUUCAGCUUACACAAUUCGGACUGAAAAAUUAAAGUUGAGCAAAACUUCUGCUUGAGGGGUGCCCAAACUGUUGCACCCAGAUCCACUUCAAACAAGAGCAAAGCUUUCAAUGGAAAUUUUAAAUAAGUGGGAUCAUGAAAUACGACUUUACCGGUACGAUCCUGAAGACAAAGCACAAUUAAAGCCAUAGCUACCCAGAGGUGAUCUAGUCGGAGCAAAAGCAAACUGGUCAAGAGGAAAGGUCAUGGCAAUGGCUUUUUGGGAUGAUUAUGGCAUUUUGCUUGUUGACUUCCUGGAGGGCCAAAGAACAUCUGCUUAUCAUGAGAGUGUUUUGAGAAAGUGAGCCAAAGCUUUAGCAGAAAAACACCUAGGAAAGCUUCACCAGAGUCCUUCUCCACCAUGACAAUGCUCUUGCUCAUUCCUCUCAUCAAAUAAGGGCAAUUUUAACUUAUUAUUAUUAUUAUUAAUUUUUUUGUUGCUGGCCAGUACAGGGAUCGAACUCUGGACCUUGGUGUUAUCCGUAUCAUGCUCUAACCAACUGAGCAAACUGGCCGGCCCAAACAAGGGCGAUUUUAUGAGUUUCAACAGGAAAUCAUUAGACAUCCAUCCACCUUACAGUCCUGAUUUGGCUCCUUCUGACUUCUUUUUGCUUCCUAAUCUUAAAAAAUCUUUAAAGGGCACCUGCUUUUCUACUGUUAAUAAUGUAAAUACAACUCAAAUGACAUGAGUUAAAGAAAAUAAUGUAAAAAAGGCUGCACUGACAUGGUUAAAUUCCCGGGACCCUCAGUUCUUUAGGGAUGGAAUAAAUGGCUGGUAUCAU